CUGGUGUGAUGACUGCCCUGCUGUUUGAGGACCCUGGUGUGAUGACUGCCUUGCUGUUUGAGGACCCUGGGGGAGGAGGCCGCUGUUCAAUUGGCUCAUCUUUACGCAAGUGAGCAGGCCGGUCGGCACUUGCACAAUUCCCACGGUGGCAGCAGGAAAGACAGGGUUCACAGGACCUGCCUCACAGCUUCUUGCUCUCUGGUCUGAGCUGGGCCCAGCUGUCAGAGUGACAGGUCACCCCCGCCCCGACACAGUAGCCACUGCGACACCUAUUGCCCCUAAGAUGUUGAAUGCAAGGAAAUGUCCAGCUCCUUGAGACACCUGUGGUUCACUCUGCUGCCAAGGGACGGUCCUUGUCCCCAAGGUGUGACAUCCCUCAUCCUUUUCUCUGGAUUAGUAAGACCUAUUGCUUUAAGGAACCCUUCUCCCAGGAUCUUAAAACAUUUUCUAACCACGUAGAGGUGAUUCGCUUCCGAGCCGUGCAGCAGAUCAGGAUCUGGGAUUACUCCAGCGGACUCCCUGCCUCGCUCCUCCUCCCUCUCUUCCUUUUCUGCCCAGUCCACCUUCCACUGGCCUCCUCCCUCCAUCCCAGCCAGCAGACAAGAGGGGCUGCUAGGUCCAGGGCACCACUGUGGGUGGUCUCCAGCUCCAGGGAGAUGGGCUGCUGACAUGGGUGGGAAUAUCUUCCCCAGAGAUUUCAAGGCACUGGAGACUGAGCUGUUGAAUUGUGAAUUAAAAAUGAAGAAGACUAGGAGUCAAAAUAUCCCAAAGGCAGUAUUAGGACCCAACCAUCUGUCCCACCCCUUCCCCAUCCUGCCACCCCAUGAUCCACCCUGAGAUCCUGGACCAUUGGAGCUGGCUAUUGAAGGAAAGGCUACAAUUGGGAGGGGGAUGCCGAGGGGAGGAAGGAAGAGCGCUGAGGCUUAUGUGGCAGUAACUCUGUGCCACGUGCCUUUUUUGUGAGCACAGAUUUUGCUACCCUUUGGCCCAAUGAGGACCAUGAUGAUAACCAAACAGUGAGACACCAUGUGCUGGAAAUUUCUCUCAGAGCUUUGCAUGCACUGGUUAAUUGGAACUAUUGUUAUCCCGAUUUCCCAGUAGAGGAUAUUGAAGCUCAGAGAUGUUAAGUAACCUGAUGAUUGUCACACAGCUCAGAGACAAUGGAGUCUGACAUGAGAACUAUAGCACCGGACUCCAGGAUAACUGUCUUGCUAUCCAUUUUGUCGGACUGCAAGCUCGGUAUUAGGGAGAGUCUCCUGUGGGCUGUCACAGCCGCAGGGUGCAAGGAGGGGUGGGCACAGGAGUGCAGCCUCUUGAGACCUCAUCACCAGGGCUCUCUCUCUCUGUCGCCCCUCCAGAGCAGGGACAGUCAGGGGUGCCUGCAUCUCCAGGGCCCCGCCCCACCUUGGGGUACACAGGAAGAGGUCCACAAAACAAAUCUGGGAUGGGUGGGGACGACCAUUGUCAGUUGCUGCUGCUGCUGUGGCUGCUGUUUCCUAGAGAUGGACAAGGCUGUUCCUGUGGCCGACACCAGAAUCUAUGAACGACGGUGACGUUCACAGCCUGUCAACUUCACUGGCAGGAGUUUCAGCGUCUAUCAAUCCGCCCUCUGGUGGUCUGAGUUUCGAAGCCCAGCCCAUGUUAUUCCAGAGACCCUCCCCCAUCCUAACGUUCCCCCCAGAUCCAUGUCCAGUGUCCACACCUCCUGAGCAUCCGCCGUGUGCCUCGUUCCUUGGAUUCCCUGUUCGACACCGAUGCUUGUUCCUUCUUAUCCAGUGGAAGCGCUCGCUGUUCCAGCCUCUUGGCCUUGACCCAGGCUCAACCCCCACCUGCCUCCAUCCAAAUCGUACCCACUCUCACCCAUGAGGUUCAGGACUUGUCCAGAGUCGGUUCCAACAACACGUGGGGGUGACAGAGAGGACUCGUAGGGGGAUGAGCCUCCUCCAGCUCCGGGCUCUGGGGAAACCCAUUGUCGCCCGCUCGGACUCUGGAUGGAGGGCAGCAGGGGCUCUGGUCACUCCUGCCAUGCCCCACGCCCCAUGGAUUUUGGAGGCCUUCUUGGGCUUCCGUCCUCUCCAGCCUAUUCACUGCAGGGAGUGAUGUUAGCUUCAUGGAGCAGGGAAGGCCUCAGCUCUCACGUGGCUGGGAGGCGAAGCCAUUCACAUAUCCAGGGGUUCCAAAGGCACGCUGAGGAAUUGGGGCGAGCCCUGAUCCAGCAUGCUGGGAAGGAGGCCCGAGAACGGCUUCUGCCGGUCAAAGCGGACUGACAUCAGCCUCCCGGAUGCAUAAGCAAGUUGGUAAAUUCAGAAAUGCACAAAGAAAAUGAAAAUCACCCGUGUCCUCGCCACCCUGAAAACACCCUGGGUGUGUGCUCGCGCUCUUUCCAUGUUUAGACAGGCGCAGCGACAGAGACGGAGGUGCCCCGCAGAUGCGCCUGCCGGAGAAACGUACUUUAAAAGCAAGGCCGAGGGAACAGAGGAGAGUCUGUGUUACAGGGUUUUGGUUCCCUUGGCAUUGACGAUGUGGCUGUCAGCUCCACUUCCUGAGAGACGCUUGAGGCUCAGGGAAAGAAGCCACUCGUCUACACCCGCAGGUGGAUCCCACCCACUUUCCUGCCUGCCACCUGCUUCCCUCUCCCUGCCACAUCUCUGGAGUGGCACAUUUUGGGGUGGAUCCACUGCUCCGCCCACACUCCCCGGGGCUCAGGCCCCUGAAAGUGAGCGCCGCCCUCUUGACUGGGAACUGACCCUGCCUGACCUCAGGCCACUCUGAUUCCACCCCCCUCGUCCCUGGGAAGGGUGCACUUGGACUCAACACCAGCACCGCCGCAGCAUGGAGAGUGGGCUUGUCUCUAACCUGAGAACUGGUGGAGCACCGGCUGGCAGGAAACCUGGUGUUGCCACUUGCUUUUCGUGAGAACUGGGAAAGCCGUGGUCUCUGUCUCAGCCCUCACGUCCGCAGCAGGACCCGCCUCAUGGGGCGUGGGGGCCGUAUCCUGCUGACGGGGUGCUUGCUGCACCCUUGCUGUGUGGCACGGCCUGUGCUGAGCUCUGCUCCUGCAUUCGUUCAUUUCACCCUUGCAAUAGCCCUCUGAGGAUUAGGCAUGAUUGCUACGCCCAUUUUACAGAUGAGGAAACUGAGCUGGAGAAAUUGAGGAUGGAGGUUAAACAGGAAAAUUGGCCUGAGAUGGAUAAGACCCUCUGAAACUGGAAAUCCUUUUCCUACACGAGACUCAAGGCUUUUUGUUGAACAAGCUUGGUUCGGGACAUUUUUUCUGUCUCUCAAAAUGUGUCCCAGGCAACAAAUAAAGCCUUCUCAUUUUCCUCUACACGAGGAAAAGACCACUUCCCAGACUGUAGAGCACACUGAUGCAGAAGUUCUGCUACCAGAGGUCUGGCCAGCAAGCACACCCGGUGAACAGUCCACCUGCUGUAUCCCCAAGGCAGCACUGCCCCUUGUCCUGAAAGGAGGAGCUCAGAUUCCAGCUACGUGACCGGUGAAUUUUAAAAUUGGGGCGGGAAAGGGAAGGCUGUAGUUAAAGGGCUGCCAUCAGAUCUUACAUCCCAACUAGCGUUAAAUACUAGAUUCUGAAAAUGGAGGAUUUUCUAUUUCUCACAAGCCCCCUCUUUUCUUUUGAUGCAUUUCGACCUACUUUUGGUUUUGUUCCUGUGCCUUGUGGUGCUGCCUUCGGCACUGCCGUACAUCCUAGGCGUGCUCACUCCGAGGGGGAGUCACCUGUGGUUUCAAGAGCUCUUGGUGGGGUCCUUUUCAGCUCAGCUGAAGCUUGUCGUCUUCCCAGGUCUUGAUUAGAAUCAAGUUGCCAGGCUGAAGUGGUGAAUGGGAAGUUUGCAUCUUCCAAAAUCUGUGGAAUGCAAAUUUGGGGACCCAGGGUGUGACACCCCAAACUUUGGUGAGUCAAGCACUUUGAAGCAACGUCCCUGGCCUUCCCUGCCCUCUCAUCUCCUGUCCCUCCUUCUCCCCCAAACGGAGUCAUAGAAACCAGAAUUCCUCUCCCCCAAGGAGGCUCGUAGAACCUGGGGCCCCUCUGCCCCUGAGCCAGUCGUCAACCUCUCCUUGAAGAGGGUCAUCGUGGAGGGGUCCAGCUCCACACCCAGGAGGAAGGAACAGACGGGCUUGCUGGCCAGGUCUGACCCUUUCCAUCUAAUCCCCUUUCCACAAGGCUGUCCAUGAUACUCCGACUCUGGAGUAAAGCAGACGGCUUCCGGGGUCUGUGGGCCUUCACGCUGCAGGUUCCCAAGUCUGAUGAAGCACAUCUGUUGCACUCCCGUCUUGCUGACCCAUCUUCAGGAGUGUGGGCGUGGCCUCAUAGGCAGGUGCUGGGCUGAACCAGCUCCUUAGACUUUGAGCAGGAGGUGACUUUCCUUCAGAGUAAGGGGCUCAGGGGGAAAGGCAUCUCCAGUGAGCAUGGGUCAAGACGAUGUCACCCAGGAUGCAGGUGAGCAACGUCCCUGUGGAAACCCAGUUUGCCAGCCAGAGGGAAAAGACUGCUGUUCUGUUUCUAGAAAGUACCACCAAGGUUCCUGGUUAGGGACAAGACUGCGUGUGGGGCAACUUGGAGGAGGAGAGAGGCAGCAGAUCGAACAGCAGCCCUCCAGGGAAAAGGAAAAGCCAUGUCUCGGGACAAAGGGGCCCACAGAGAAGCCGGGAGCUCCAGUCCACAGGGGGACCCAAGUGAGUGGUGUCCUGUCCGUUGUCCUCCACCCUCCAUAUCAAAUAGAUACAUGGCUGGCUCCUGACAGGAAAGCUCUCACAGAGGAACCAGCCUAGGUGUGACCAGUCCCAGGACACAAUAAAAUAAUAUCAGCCCAGAGGAAGGAUGCCUCAUCCAAAGGCCGACAGAGGCAUGUGACCUAGAUCACACUAGGAGACAGUGCACAGAUUCAGGCAAAUGACUUCUUCAUAAAACUGAAAGACCAUGGAGCAAGUUUGUGGAUUUUAAGAUAUUUUAAGUGUCUUUUUAAGAAGCCACAAGAUGGCCUAAGGAGAUGAAAAGUUAGCUGGCAGAACUCGAGGAAAAACCAGGGGAAAAGAAAACUGUUACAUAAAGAAAAGCCUCAUCAGGAUCUUUAAAAAUCAGACUCAUGGUGAUAGGAAUGUCCUAGAGGACACGGCGGCCAGGCUGACCCUAGGAGGCCUUUGUGGCAUUCAGAGCAGGACACGCAUCACAGGGUGAGACUCCUGUGUAGCGAGAGAUGUCGAGGAUCCUUCAUCCCUCCCAAAGUGUCAGUUAUGCCCCUCCAGCUACUGCAUCAUCCAAAAGCACCACCCCCAAUUUUCAAAGUAUGUUGACAUAGAAAUGUUUAUAAAAAUAGAAUAUUUUUUAUAAUAGAUAGGAAGGUGAGAAAUAAGACAAAAAUUGUUGUUCUUUAGGAAGAGACCAGAGCCGAGGACACAGAAAAAUAUUCAGUGAUAUAACUGAAGAAAACUUGGCUGAAGUCAGGGCUUUUCAAAAGCAAAAUGUGAUUCAGAAAUGGCAACACCAACAUGUGUGCUUGUGAAAAUAUGGACUUUCAAGAGGAAGAAAAUAAUUCUAUUAGCUUAUAUGAGAAAACACAAAAUUUGAGGUAUAACAGAGAAAAAAAAGUCAGAGUUACCUUACAACUUUCCACAGCCAUCAUCGAUGUCAGAGGACUAAUACUUUCAAAGGUGGUGAAGGUAGGGAAGAAAGGGGUGCCCCAAGAACUUAAUUUAUAGCACUGGGGAUUGAGCCCAGGGGUGCUUUACCACUGAGCUACAUCCCCAGCCCUUUUCCUUUUUUUGAUUUUGAGGCAGGGUCUUGGUAAGUUGCUGAAGCUGGCUUGGAACUUGUGAUCCUCCUGCCUCAGCCUCCUGAGUUGCUGGGAUUAUAAAUCUGUGCCACUGGGCCUGGCUUUGCUCAAAGAACUUUAAAUCAAAUUAUAUUUUCCUCUGGAGAUAAAAGUUUUAGAAUGAUCGACAAGCAUGCAUGCACUUGCAGAUUACAAUUCCUGUGAACCUUUCAGGGAAAAUAACCCUUCCCCCAGAUGGAACAUUCUCUUUCAUUUUGUCUUUUAAAUCUAGAACACACAGGGAUAAAGUAACACAGGAAUGAGAGAGUCAGGGUCAGAUGGUAGACACCAUAGUCAUGAAAACAGACUGAGCUGAAACUUGCUUCACUAAAUGAAAUGUAAAUAUCACGAAGCGGCACAACAGCAGAAUGAGGAGAGGGUGGCUGAGGGGUAGGUAAGGAGACACCGGGAGUUCACUCCCUCCUCCCUGCAGCAGGGAACUCACAGUGUGGCCUUCGUACCUGAUUGGAACCUGGCUCCAACUCAGUGUGUGCUUCAACAUCUUCCUUAGUGUAGACAAAUCUCCUAGGAAGGAAGUCGUAUCCCAUAUGCUGAAGAAAAUCCACUUGAAAACAUUCUUCCUAUUUUACUUCAGUUUCUUCUUGAUUCCAUUAAAUUAAAAAGAACAGA